rnacentral:rRNA from 1 species
UUCGUGUGAACAGUGGUUGAUCACGAGUUAGUCGGUCCUAAGUUCAAGGCGAAAGCCGAAAAUUUUCAAGUAAAAUUUUAUGAAAUUAUGAUUUAAACACUUGAAUAAUUUUGAACGAAAGGGAAUACGGUUCCAAUUCCGUAACCUGUUGAGUAUCCGUUUGUUAUUAAAUAUGGGCCUCGUGCUCAUCCUGGUAACAGGAACGACCAUAAAGAAGCCGUCGAGAGGUAUCGGAAGAGUUUUCUUUUCUGUUUUAUAGCCGUACUACCAUGGAAGUCUUUCGCAGAGAGAUAUGGUAGAUGGGCUAGAAGAGCAUGACAUAUACUGUUGUGUCGAUAUUUUCUCUUCGGACCUUGAAAAUUUAUGGUGGGGAUACGCAAACUUCUCAACAGGCCGUACCAAUAUCCGCAGCUGGUCUCCAAGGUGAAGAGUCUCUAGUCGAUAAAAUA